AGAGUGUAGAGGAGGCAGGUAGCCUAGUGGUUAGAGGAGGCAGGUAGCCUAGUGGUUAGAGUAAAGAGGAGGCAGGUAGACUAGUGGUUAGAGUGUAGAGGUGGCAGGUAGACUAGUGGUUAGAGUGUAGAGGAGGCAGGUAGCCUAGUGGUUAGAGUGUAGAGGAGGCAGGUAGCCUAGUGGUUAGAGUGUGGAGGAGGCAGGUAGCCUAGUGGUUAGAGUGUAGAGGAGGCAGGUAGCCUAGUGGUUAGAGUGUAGAGGAGGCAGGUAGCCUAGUGGUUAGAGUGUAGAGGAGGCAGGUAGCCUAGUGGUUAGAGUGUAGAGGAGGCAGGUAGACUAGUGGUUAGAGUGUAGAGGUGGCAGGUAGUCUAGUGGUUAGAGUGUAGAGGAGGCAGGUAGACUAGUGGUUAGAGUGUAGAGGAGGCAGGUAGCCUAGUGGUUAGAGUGUAGAGGAGGUAGGUAGUCUAGUGGUUAGAGUGUAGAGGAGGCAGGUAGACUAGUGGUUAGAGUGUAGAGGAGGCAGGUAGUCUAGUGGUUAGAGGAGGCAGGUAGCCUAGUGGUUAGAGUAGGCCGUAAUUGUAAAUAAGAAUUUGUUCUUAACGGACUAGUUAAAUACUGGUUAAAUGAAUAAACAUGUAAAGUCUGACUGUGUCCUGGCUCUAGCUGUGGUGUGUUGGGAGCGGUUAGAGUUGGGUUGUCUGCUGGUCGUUGUCUCUCCAUCACUCUCACUGGAGCUCACAAUACGCUGGGCCUUCCGACCAGCACGCCUCAACAAUGGCUUCCUAAAACACACACACAGGUCAGAUAGAGACAGACGGGUCAGAUCG
ensembl:lncRNA